rnacentral:piRNA from 1 species
UNGAGUAGUGUCGUGGUGUAUUUGUCUGA